UGGGGUAUAGCCAAGCGGUAAGGCAACAGACUUUGACUCUGUUACGCGUUGGUUCGAAUCCAGCUACCCCAG
rnacentral:tRNA from 1 species